rnacentral:misc_RNA from 1 species
AACGCACAUUGCGCCCCUUGGUAUUCCAUGGGGCAUGCCUGUUCGAGCGUCAUUUGUACCCUCCAGCCCUGCUGGGUGUUGGGCGUUUUGUUCCGCCGCGCGCGUGAACUCGCCUCAAAUGCAUUGGCAGCCAGCCGUCCCGUGUGAGAGCGCAGCACAUUUUGCGCUCUCCGCUGGGUGCGGCGGCGUCCACAAGCCUAUACCUUUACGCUUGACCUCGGAUCAGGUAGGGAUACCCGCUGAACUUAA